rnacentral:lncRNA from 1 species
GCCAGGCCCACCCGAUGCUGCUCGACUCAGUCGCCCUGCAGGCACUGUGUGUUUGGACAGCUGGAAGCAGAGCUCGGCCUGUGACCUGCCUGGUCCAGCAACUGGACCUUCUGGAGAGUCACAGUGAGACACACAGCCACAUCCUGUAAAUGAAGACCUCGUGGCUCAGAGAGGUCAGGUAACUUCCCCAAAGCCUGUCUGGCCUCCCAGCACCAUCCCUAGUCCCAGAGGGGAGGUGGAAUGAAGGCAGGGCUAAGGCCAGGCUGCAUGGAGGCAGAGGCACCUGCCGGCCUGCAGGACCAAAGGUUCUAUUGGAGGCAGUGCCUGGGCAGACAAAGGCCCUCAGAUUCACAAGCUGAAGCCCUAGCACCCAGGGCCCCAGUGUGCUACUGUGUUUGGAGACAGGUAAAGGUUGUCAAGGUAAGACAGGGUGGCCCUGAUCCAAUAUGACUGGCGUCCUUGUAAGAAGAGGAGAUUGGGACAGACACGCCCCGAGGGAUGGCCAUGUGAGGGCGCCUCAGGAAGACGGUGUGCAAGAGCGGGAAGCGGGGCCUCGGAAGAGCCAGCCCUUGGAUCUCGGGCUUCCAGGAGAAUCAGUUCCUGCAGUUGAAGCCACCAGGGUGCUGUGGCAGGGGCUGGGUCCCUGCUCGACCUUCGGGUGCCGGGGUGUCCCGUAUAAGAGCAGCACAGCCACCGCCACGGCCACUCGCAGUUCCAGGCUCCGGGCAGCAUCUGGGACCCCAGUUCCUGUUGUGAGAGGCUCCCCACUGCCAUCCCACCCCCUGCAAGUAAGCCAGAGAAAAGAAAAUGCCAUUCGGAAAAUCCUAAGGAAGAGAGGAUGCAUUUCCUCGUCUCCACGUGGAAGCGGAUCACCCUAAAGGUCUUCAUCCUGGUCUUUUUCAUGCUGAGGAGGCUGGGGAGGAGAAGGAAGAGGAGGGGCUGGUCUUGCUGACCCAGGAGCAGCAGAGAAAGGAGAAAAUCCACGUGCAGGGGCUGGCCAGCGCUGGGCUUCUCGGGAAUGGAAUCACACACGGACUGUGGCGUACACAUCACAACUUUAAACCCCGUCCGUACUGAAGCCUGCGUCCGAAUUUCUUCUGUUUUUGUGGCGGAAGGAUAAAUAUUCCAUUGUACAGA